rnacentral:rRNA from 1 species
UACGUAGGUGGCAAGCGUUACUCGGAAUCACUAGGCGUAAAGCGCAGGUAGGUGGUUUGGUAAGUCUUUUGUGAAGCUCCUGGCUCAACUGGGAGAGGUCAAAGGAAACUACCAGGCUAGAGUUUGGUAGGGGAGACUGGAAUUCCUGGUGUAGCGGUGAAAUGCGCAGAUAUCAGGAGGAACACCGGUGGCGAAGGCGGCGUUCUGGACUGCAACUGACACUGAAAGACGAAAGCCAGGGGAGCAAACGGG